UACUCAGAGAAGUCAUCCGUGCCCUAAGAUAACUCUGACGCCCACUUUCUAGCUCACCCAACAUCAUACCAUUUACGUAUAAGUAUAUACAUCAACAAAUAAACAAACAAAUCAUUUUUCCACUUUAGAAUAGGGGAUAGAAAAAGACAUUACACUUAAUAGAGAAAGUACCGCAAGGGAACGCUGAAAGAGAAAUGAAACAACUCAGUAAAGCACAACAAAGCAGAGAUCACUACUCGUACCUUUUGCAUCAUGUUUUAGCCAGAGCCCCUCAAGCAAAAAGCAUUGUAGUUUGACAACCCGAAACUAAGGGAGCUACUCCAAGCCAGCCUAAUAGAAAGGGCCAACCCGUCUCUGUGGCAAUAGAGUGGGAAGAGCUUUGAGUAGAGGUGACAGACCUACCGAACUUAGUUAUAGCUGGUUACCUGAAAAUUGGAUAGAAGUUCAGCCUCUUGAGUUCUCCCCUCACAUUGAUAUCUUUCUAAGUGAGACCCCAAGAAAUCAAGAGAGUUAGUCAAAGGGGGUCCAGCCCCUUUGAACAAAGAAACAACUUUUCUGGGUGGAUAAAGAUCAAAUUCAUAAAGGUAAGUCAUUGAGGUGGGCUUAAAAGCAGCCAUCCUAAUAAAAAGCGUUAAAGCUUGAACAUUGCACUCAAACCCCUAAUUCCGAUUUUAGUUUCCUACUCCCCCUCCUCYUAUCAGGUUUUCCCAUAACAUAUGGGAGUAAUAAUGCUAAUAUGAGUAAUAAGAGAGCAAGACUCUCUCCACGCCCAAGUGUAACCCGGAACAGACAUCCUGCCGGCCAUUAACGGCCCCAUAACUGAGGGUAAUAGGCCAAAAAUAGAGAACUAGAAGACCACCCAGAUAUUCCCGUUAACCCUACACUGGUGCGCCUCCGUGGAAAGACUAAAAGAAAAAGAAGGAACUCGGCAAACAUAAUUGGCCUCGCCUGUUUACCAAAAACAUCGCCUCUUGACCCCCUAAACAUAAGAGGUCCCGCCUGCCCUGUGACUAUACGUUUAACGGCCGCGGUAUCUUGACCGUGCGAAGGUAGCG
rnacentral:rRNA from 1 species